rnacentral:rRNA from 1 species
UGCAAGGCUAGCCGGGUAGCUUUACACAUGCCAAGUCGAACGGCAGCAUGAGAGAGCUUGCUCUCAUGAUGGCGAGUGGCGGACGGGUGAGUAAUGUAUCGGAACGUGCCCGGUAGUGGGGGAUAACUACGCGAAAGCGUAGCUAAUACCGCAUAUUCUCUACGGAGGAAAGAGGGGGAUCGUAAGACCUCUUGCUACCGGAGCGGCCGAUAUCAGAUUAGCUAGUUGGUGGGGUAACGGCCUACCAAGGCGGUGAUCUGUAGCUGGUUUGAGAGGACGACCAGCCACACUGGGACUGAGACACGGCCCAGACUCCUACGGGAGGCAGCAGUGGGGAAUUUUCGACAAUGGGGGGAACCCUGAUCGAGCCAUCUCGCGUGUGGGACGAAGGCCUUCGGGUUGUAAACCACUUUUCUCAACGAAGAAAAGUCUUAGGCUAAUACCUUAAGAUGCUGACGGUAGUUGAGGAAUAAGCACCGGCUAACUACGUGCCAGCAGCCGCGGUAAUACGUAGGGUGCGAGCGUUAAUCGGAAUUACUGGGCGUAAAGGGUGCGCAGGCGGCUUGGAAAGAACGGUGUGAAAUCCCGGGGCUCAACCUCGGAACUGCACUAUUAACUGCCAAGCUAGAGUACGUCAGAGGGGGGUGGAAUUCCGCGUGUACCAGUAAAAUGCUAGAU